rnacentral:rRNA from 1 species
CCUACGGGGGGCUGCAGUGGGGAAUAUUGCACAAUGGGGGAAACCCUGAUGCAGCAACGCCGCGUGAGCGAUGAAGGCUUUCGAGUCGUAAAGCUCUGUCCUAAGGGAAGAUAAUGACGGUACCUUAGGAGGAAGCCCCGGCUAACUACGUGCCAGCAGCCGCGGUAAUACGUAGGGGGCAAGCGUUAUCCGGAAUUAUUGGGCGUAAAGGGUGCGUAGGCGGCCUUAUGGGUCAGAGGUUAAAUACUACGGCUUAACCGUAGUAUGCCUUUGAAACUAUAGGGCUUGAGUGCAGGAGAGGAGAGUGGAAUUCCUAGUGUAGCGGUGAAAUGCGUAGAUAUUAGGAGGAAUACCAGUGGCGAAGGCGACUCUCUGGACUGCAACUGACGCUAAGGCACGAAAGCGUGGGUAGCGAACAGGAUUAGAUACCCCAGUAGUC